CAAACAAACACUGAGUUCUGGACCUGAUGUUCAGCUCUGUAGUGGGACAGGUCUGAUCUCUGUGUUAGGGAGGUGAAGACCAACACUGUCAUUAACACAUUACACUCUAAUCUCACUGUGUUAGGGAGGUGAAGACCAACACUGUCAUUAACACAUUACACUCUAAUCUCACACUGUGUUAGGGAGGUGAAGACCAACACUGUCAUUAACACAUUACACUCUAAUCUCACUGUGUUAGGGAGGUGAAGACCAACACUGUCAUUAACACAUUACACUCUAAUCUCACACUGUGUUAGGGAGGUGAAGACCAACACUGUCAUUAACACAUUACACUCUAAUCUCACACUGUGUUAGGGAGGUGAAGACCAACACUGUCAUUAACACAUUACACUCUAAUCUCACUGUGUUAGGGAGGUGAAGACCAACACUGUCAUUAACACAUUACACUCUAAUCUCACUGUGUUAGGGAGGUGAAGACCAACACUGUCAUUAACACAUUACACUCUAAUCUCACUGUGUUAGGGAGGUGAAGACCAACACUGUCAUUAACACAUUACACUCUAAUCUCACUGUGUUAGGGAGGUGAAGACCAACACUGUCAUUAACACA